AUUACGCUGGCGGUGUGCCUAAUACAUGCAAGUCGAACGAUAUAGUGGCGAACGGGUGAGUAACGCGUUGGUACCUGCCCCAAAGUCUCGCAUAGCCCCUCGAAAGAGGGGGUAAUUCGGGAUAGUCCCAGAUACUAAUUUUGAGGAAAGAAUCCAUUGGGUUCUCCCCUCAAAAUUUAAGUUUUUGGGUAAAGGAGCAAUCCGCUUUGGGAGGGGCCUGCGUCCUAUCAGGUCGUUGGUGAGGUAACGGCUCACCAAGCCUAUGACGGGUAGCUGGAUCGAGAGGUCGACCAGCCACAACGAGACUGAGACACGGCUCGUACACCUACGGGUGGCAGCAGUAGGGAAUUUUGCACAAUGGACGAGAGUCUGAUGCAGCGACACCGCGUGAAGGAAGAAGGUUUUCGGAUAGUAAACUUCUUUUAUGUAUGACGAUUAUGACGGUAAUACAUGAAUAAGGACCGGCUAACUACGUGCCAGCAGCCGCGGUAAUACGUAGGGUCCAAGCGUUAUCCGGAAUCACUGGGCGUAAAGGGCGUGUAGGCGGCAAAGUAAGUCUCCGGUUAAAGCCCGCGGCUCAACCGCGGUCAUGUCGGAGAAACUACUUUGCUAGAGGAAUGGAGAGGUGAGCGGAAUUCCCGGUGUAGCGGUGAAAUGCGUAGAUAUCGGGAGGAACGUCAAUGGCGAAGGCAGCUCACUGGCCAUCUCCUGACGCUGAGGCGCGAAAGCGUGGGGAGCAAACGGGAUUAGAUACCCCGGUAGUCCACGCUGUAAACGAUGCUCGCUGGCUUUUUUAAGUAUCGACCCUUGGAGAAGCGAAGCUAACGCGUUAAGCGAGCCGCCUGAGUAGUACGAUCGCAAGAUUAAAACUCAAAGGAAUAGGCGGGGGUCCGCACAAGCGGUGGAACAUGUGGUUCAAUUCGACGGUACACGAAGAACCUUACCAGGUCUUGACAUCCGCGGAAUUCGCUGGAAACAGCGAAGUGCUAGUUUACUAGAACCGCGAGACAGGUGUUGCAUGGCUGUCGUCAGCUCGUGCUGUGAAGUGUUUCCUUAAGUGGAGUAACGAGCGCAACCCCUAUCAGAAGUUACAAGUGUCUUCUGAAACUGCUCCGGCAACGGAGAGGAAGGUGGGGAUGACGUCAAGUCAGCAUGGCCCUUACGACCUGGGCGACACACAUGUUACAAUGGCCGACACAACGGGACGCCAAAUCGCGAGAUGGAGCUAAUCCCACCAAAGUCGGUCGUAGUUCGGAUUGGAGUCUGAAACUCGACUCCAUGAAGCCGGAAUCGCUAGUAACCGCAGGUCAGCUAAACUGCGGGGAUACGUUCUC
rnacentral:rRNA from 1 species